GCCAUGGCCACAGCAGUACCAGCCCAUCUGCAGCCCAGAGCAGGCAAAACCACCCAGUCCAUCUCUUCGAGCUGGAAUGCAAAUGUAGCUGUAUUUUAGCUGCUGACAGCUCUGAUAAUGGAUCAUGUGGGUACAGAAAAGUGAUGUGUUAUAAACAGCAAUUAAAACUGUGUUGUCAGAGUGUCAAAAUCAAUCUCAGUCUUUGAUAUGGCCAGACAUAUUACUUUUUUUUCUUAUUAUAAGGUUUAGAGCUUAUGAUUAUCAGGUGCUUCUAAUUGUCAAAUUCUAACAAGGCGUGAGACCCUGAGCUGAGCACUUCCUCACCAGAUCUCUGAGUCAAGCUGAAUUUGCUGGAAAACUUCAGCCAAAACACUUGGCUGCUUUUGUGCACAAAUCCUGUGCAUGUAAAUCCUGGUGGACACCCUCUCCUGCAGCAACCCAUACUAGCUUCAUCCCUUGGAGUGGCUCAGUGAGGCCACAUGUCCUGGGACUUGCACAAGCCCAUGUUGAUGUCUCUGCCACCAGCCAAAGUGUGUGCUGUCCCCAUGGAGCCCAGCACUGUGCUUCAGCUUGGGAUAAACCAGAAAUUUCCAGAAUCUUCAUCUGCCUCCUGCCUCAAAGAUUAAACAUAGCACCUUGCUCCAGGGGAGGCUGGCAGAUCUCCUGGGUAGCUUCCCAGCUCCCUGGACCGGACCGAGAGUCAUAAGUUCCUAAAGACCUGAGCCUCUUUUUGGCAAUGUGUGAAGAUGAAAGUGGUCAGUGGCCCAUUGGAAGGGACCCAUGUGGCCUGCAGUAGAGACUGUCUUCUGCAGAGAUGUCAAUGAAGUUGCAAAUACCAGAUAAUGAUAAAGAGAAAUGGGGUCACAGCUCAUAUUGCCUUACAUAGAAAACAUGAAGUUAUCAAAUCAUAAUUCACAAGUGAAAACAUAUAAUUAAACUUUGUCAUUGCUCCCU
rnacentral:lncRNA from 1 species